rnacentral:rRNA from 1 species
UACGAAGGGGGCAAGCGUUGUUCGGAAUUACUGGGCGUAAAGGGCGCGCAGGCGGCCAGACAAGUCAGAUGUGAAAGCCCCGGGCUCAACCUGGGAAUAGCAUUUGGGACUGUUUGGCUAGAGAUCGGGAGAGGAGAGUGGAAUUCCUGGUGUAGCAGUGAAAUGCGUAGAUAUCAGGAGGAAUACCGAUGGCGAAGGCAGGUCUCUGGGCUGACACUGACGCUCAUGCACGAAAGCGUGGGGAGCAAACAGG